rnacentral:tRNA from 1 species
GUCUAGUGGCCUAGGACACCGCCCUUUCACGGCGGUAACAGGGGUUCGAGUCCCCU